CUUUGUUGUCGCCCUCUUCCGCUUCUUAGACAUCUCCUUGUCUUCUGUGGCCCCGAAUUCUUUUAGGUUUUUGAUAGGAUUUCUCUCCCUUUGCCACGUAGUCGAGGUUCAACCGUCCCUCUCCCUGUUUAGGCACUUCUAUACUUUCAAGCGCCAUCCUUCGGCGAAGGACUGGUGGUACUUCUCCCCCCAGUUCGACAAGAAGGGGUUGCUGAAAGGUGCCCCUUCUUCAAUCCACAAUUGGAAGGGGAAAUACCUCUUCAUCCACUGCCCGACCCU
rnacentral:lncRNA from 1 species